rnacentral:misc_RNA from 1 species
UGGCUCUCGCAUCGAUGAAGAACGUAGCGAAGUGCGAUAUGUAGUGUGAAUUGCAGAAUUCCGUGAAUCAUCGAAUCUUUGAACGCAAAUUGCACUCUCCGGUUUUCCGGGAGAGUAUGCCUGUUUGAGGGUCAGCCUAAAAAAAAUCGACAUUGUUGCUGUUAUUUCAUGGUGACUUUCGUCGGAGAUUGGGUCAUCUUAAAUCUUUUGGUUUAAGCGACUUAAAAUUUUUUCACGAUUCCAUGAACGUUUUUAAGAUUUUAUUUCUUGUACGUUUAAGGUUUAUCGACCCUUUAUUAGACGUGGCCGUCGCAUCGGAUCGCGUCCAUAAUAAGACUUUCGUUAACUGACCUCAGACAGGUAAGAGUACCCGCUGA